GCCGCCGUGGGUCAGCUGGAAGAGCGGGUGAUUCGUAAUCACCAGGUCGCGGGUUCAAACCCCGCCGGCGGCU
rnacentral:tRNA from 1 species